GACAGAGGAUGCAAGCGUUAUCCGGAAUGAUUGGGCGUAAAGCGCGUGUAGGCGGCUCGGUAAGUCCGCUCUGAAAGCCCGGGGCUUAACCCCGGGUCUGCGGUCGAUACGGGCAGGCUAGAGUUCGGUAGGGGAGACUGGAAUUCCUGGUGUAGCGGUGAAAUGCGCAGAUAUCAGGAGGAACACCGGUGGCGAAGGCGGGUCUCUGGGCCGAUACUGACGCUGAGGAGCGAAAGCGUGGGGAGCGAACAGG
rnacentral:rRNA from 1 species